GACGAACGCUGGCGGCGUGCUUAACACAUGCAAGUCGAACGCUGAAGCUCAGCUUUUGUUGGGUGGAUGAGUGGCGAACGGGUGAGUAACACGUGAGUAACCUGCCUCCUUCUUUGGGAUAACGCCCGGAAACGGGUGCUAAUACUGGAUAUUCACUGGUCUUCGCAUGGGGGUUGGUGGAAAGGGUUUUUCUGGUGGGGGAUGGGCUCGCGGCCUAUCAGCUUGUUGGUGGGGUGAUGGCCUACCAAGGCUUUGACGGGUAGCCGGCCUGAGAGGGUGACCGGUCACAUUGGGACUGAGAUACGGCCCAGACUCCGACGGGAGGCAGCAGUGGGGAAGAUUGCACAAUGGGCGCAAGCCUGAUGCAGCGACGCCGCGUGAGGGAUGGAGGCCUUCGGGUUGUGAACCUCUUUCGCUCAUGGUCAAGCCGCAACAAUGGUUGUGGUGAGGGUAGUGGGUAAAGAAGCGCCGGCUAACUACGUG
rnacentral:rRNA from 1 species